rnacentral:rRNA from 1 species
GCGACCCCCGGAUGGGCGAGGCCACCCGCCGAGUUUAAGCAUAUCAAUAAGCGGAGGAAAAGAAACUUACCAGGAUUCC